UGGAUCUAUGAUGAUUUCUGGUCAUCAUCAAUAUGAAUCAUAUACAAUGAAAGCGUGUCUGGAACUAGAGGUCCAA
ensembl:snoRNA